rnacentral:rRNA from 1 species
CAGUAGCCGCGGUAAUACGAAGGGUGCAAGCGUUACUCGGAAUUACUGGGCGUAAAGCGUGCGUAGGUGGUGGUUUAAGUCCGUUGUGAAAGCCCUGGGCUCAACCUGGGAAUUGCAGUGGAUACUGGGUCACUAGAGUGUGGUAGAGGAUAGUGGAAUUUCCGGUGUAGCAGCGAAAUGCGUAGAUAUGCGGAGGAACACCGAUGGCGAAGGCAGCCCCCUGGGCCAACACUGACGCUCAUGCACGAAAGCGUGGGGAGCAAACAGGAUUAGAUACCCCAGUAGUCCCUGUCUCUUAUAC